rnacentral:rRNA from 1 species
UACGUAGGUGGCAAGCGUUGUCCGGAUUUACUGGGUGUAAAGGGUGCGUAGGCGGGGCGGCAAGUUGGAUGUGAAAUACCAGCGCUCAACGUUGGGGCUGCAUUCAAAACUGUCGCUCUUGAGUGAAGUAGAGGUAGGCGGAAUUCCCGGUGUAGCGGUGAAAUGCGUAGAGAUCGGGAGGAACACCAGUGGCGAAGGCGGCCUACUGGGCUUUUACUGACGCUGAGGCACGAAAGCAUGGGUAGCAAACAGG